GACGAACGCUGGCGGCGUGCUUAACACAUGCAAGUCGAACGGAAAGGCCCUGCUCUUGUGGGGUGCUCGAGUGGCGAACGGGUGAGUAACACGUGAGUAACCUGCCCUUGACUUUGGGAUAACUUCAGGAAACUGGGGCUAAUACCGGAUAGGAGCUCCUGCUGCAUGGUGGGGGUUGGAAAGUUUCGGCGGUUGGGGAUGGACUCGCGGGUUAUCAGCUUGUUGGUGGGGUAGUGGCUUACCAAGGCUUUGACGGGUAGCCGGCAUGGGAGGGUGACCGGCCACAUUGGGCCUGAGGUACGGCCCAGACUCCUACGGGAGGCAGCAGUGGGGAAUAUUGCACAAUGGGCGGAAGCCUGAUGCAGCAGCGCCGCGUUCGGGAUGACGGCCUUCGGGUUGUAAACCGCUUUCGCCUGUGACGAAGCGUGAGUGACGGUAAUGGGUAAAGAAGCACCGGCUAACUACGUG
rnacentral:rRNA from 1 species